rnacentral:tRNA from 1 species
AAUUAAUUAUCCUUUUUGGGAAAUAUAUUUUGAAAAUAUAUCUAAGAGAAUUUUAUUCUCUAUUAGUUU